rnacentral:tRNA from 1 species
UCCCUGGUGGUCCAGUGGUUAAGAUUCUAAGCUCCCAAUACAGAGGGCCAAGGUUUGAUCCCUGGUCAGGGAACUA